UCCGUCCUCAACGAGGCAUUUUCAUCCAAGAAAACCAUUUUGUGAUUAAUAUAAUCAUCCUCGCAAAAACAUUUACCACAGCCAAAAUAUGCAUUAUGCCCUUUUGAGCCAGUUACAAAGGAUUUGGCAGGAGUAUCACAAAUAAUUGCUCUGAUUGUUACACGGUUUUUUAUAACCGUGAAAAGCAGCAAUCAAAAAGGGUUCCGUGACAUGAAUAUUAUAAAUUUGACCAAGUAUAGGCCAUAACUGGCUUUGGGAACUUUUAGUAAGAGACCAUAAUAAAAGUAAUGGCCAGCUCCACACUCUCGAAUAAUUGUAUUUUUGGGUGUUCCUAACAAGGUUCGAGCAUCACUGGGCAAAUCAUUGUGACCUUCUUUCUGUAGAAUACACAAUAAGGCUGUCAGAGAUUUUUGAGUAAUAUUAUAUUUAAUAGCCCACACACA